rnacentral:rRNA from 1 species
AUUGAACGCUAGCGGGAUGCCUUACACAUGCAAGUCGAACGGAGUGGCGAACGGGUGAGUAAUGUAUCGGUACGUGCCCAGUAGCGGGGGAUAACUACGCGAAAGCGUAGCUAAUACCGCAUACUCUUGGAACUGCCGAUAUCCGAUUAGCUAGUUGGUGGGGUAACGGCUCACAAAGGCGACGAUCCGUAGCCGGUUUGAGAGGACGACCAGCCACACUGGGACUGAGACACGGCCCAGACUCCUACGGGAGGCAGCAGUGGGGAAUUUUGGACAAUGGGGGAAAGCCUGAUCCAGCCAUCCCGCGUGUGCGAUGAAGGCCUUCGGGUUGUAAAGCACUUUUGGCAGGAAAGCGGUACCUGCAGAAGAAGCACCGGCUAACUACGUGCCAGCAGCCGCGGUAAUUC